CUAUUCCCCUCCCCCUGCGCUCAUCUGAAUUCUAAGUAUAGACCCAUGAUGAAAGAUUUCAAAGGCAAUAGCCAUUGCUCCAAAAUAGCCGGGUUAAUAUUUGCAGAGUGGUUCAGCUCCUUUCUCUCUUCUGCCUCUCAAAAAGAUGCUAUUCCUGUGAUUAAAACCAUUACAGUGCUUCAAAGGUUAUACAUGACUUUCAGGCUUCAACCUCAAUAGAAGCAGGCAGUGUGAUUUCAUGCCUAUUAAUUGGUACAACAUUGGUCAGUUUGAGAAGAUGCCAGAGGUCAAUUCCUGCUCUUAGAGUCCUAGAACAGCUUCCUUGUGUCAAAGUUUUGGAAAUACAUAAAGAAGGGAGAAAAAAGG